ACUCAAAGGAAUAGACGGGGACCCGCACAAGCGGUGGAUGAUGUGGAUUAAUUCGAUGCAACGCGAAAAACCUUACCUACCCUUGACAUGUCAGAGAGCUUGAAGAGAUUUGAGUGUGCUCGAAAGAGAAUCUGAACACAGGUGCUGCAUGGCUGUCGUCAGCUCGUGUCGUGAGAUGUUGGGUUAAGUCCCGCAACGAGCGCAACCCUUGUCAUUAGUUGCUACGAAAGGGCACUCUAAUGAGACUGCCGGUGACAAACCGGAGGAAGGUGGGGAUGACGUCAAGUCCUCAUGGCCCUUAUGGGUAGGGCUUCACACGUCAUACAAUGGUACAUACAGAGGGCCGCCAACCCGCGAGGGGGAGCUAAUCCCAGAAAGUGUAUCGUAGUCCGGAUUGGAGUCUGCAACUCGACUCCAUGAAGUUGGAAUCGCUAGUAAUCGCGGAUCAGCAUGUCGCGGUGAAUACGUUCCCGGGUCUUGUACACACCGCCCGU
rnacentral:rRNA from 1 species